GUAGGUGGCAAGCGUUGUCCGGAAUUAUUGGGCGUAAAGCGCGCGCAGGCGGUCCUUUAAGUCUGAUGUGAAAGCCCACGGCUCAACCGUGGAGGGUCAUUGGAAACUGGGGGACUUGAGUACAGAAGAGGAAAGCGGAAUUCCAAGUGUAGCGGUGAAAUGCGUAGAGAUUUGGAGGAACACCAGUGGCGAAGGCGGCUUUCUGGUCUGUAACUGACGCUGAGGCGCGAAAGCGUGGGGAGCAAACAGGGAUUAGAUACCCUGGUAGUCCACGCCGUAAACGCUGAGUGCUAAGUGUUAGGGGGUUUCCCGCCCCUUAGUGCUGCAGCUAACGCAUUAAGCACUCCGCCUGGGGAGUACGGCCGCAAGGCUG
rnacentral:rRNA from 1 species